rnacentral:misc_RNA from 1 species
UUUCCGUAGGUGAACCUGCGGAAGGAUCAUUCAUAAUAAGUGUUUUAUGGCACUUUUUUAAAUCCAUAUCCACCUUGUGUGCUAUGUCAGGGUUGAUCUUUCUCUCGAGAGGAUCAACCCCAAACAUCAACUAUAUCUCAACUCUUUGUCUGAAAAAUAUUAUGAAUAAAACAAUUCAAAAUACAACUUUCAACAACGGAUCUCUUGGCUCUC